GGAGGAUCCGAGCGUUAUCCGGAUUUAUUGGGUUUAAAGGGAGCGUAGAUGGAUGUUUAAGUCAGUUGUGAAAGUUUGCGGCUCAACCGUAAAAUUGCAGUUGAUACUGAUAUCUUGAGUGCAGUUGAGGUAGGCGGAAUUCGUGGUGUAGCGGUGAAAUGCUUAGAUAUCACGAAGAACUCCGAUUGCGAAGGCAGCUUACUAACCUGUAACUGACAUUGAUGCUCGAAAGUGUGGGUAUCAAACAGGAUUAGAUACCCUGGUAGUCCACACGGUAAACGAUGAAUACUCGCUGUAGGCGAUAUACAGUCUGCGGCCAAGCGAAAGCAUUAAGUAUUCCACCUGGGGAGUACGCCGGCAACGGUGAAACUCAAAGGA
rnacentral:rRNA from 1 species